GACGAACGCUGGCGGCGUGCUUAACACAUGCAAGUCGAACGGAAAGGCCCUGCUUUUGUGGGGUGCUCGAGUGGCGAACGGGUGAGUAACACGUGAGUAACCUGCCCUUGACUUUGGGAUAACUUCAGGAAACUGGGGCUAAUACCGGAUAGGAGCUCCUGCUGCAUGGUGGGGGUUGGAAAGUUUCGGCGGUUGGGGAUGGACUCGCGGCUUAUCAGCUUGUUGGUGGGGUAGUGGCUUACCAAGGCUUUGACGGGUAGCCGGCCUGAGAGGGUGACCGGCCACAUUGGGACUGGGAUACGGCCCAGAGUCCUACGGGAGGCAGGAGUGGGGAAUAUUGCACAAUGGGCGGAAGCCUGAUGCAGCAACGCCGCGUGCGGGAUGACGGCCUUCGGGUUGUAAACCGCUUUCGCCUGUGACGAAGCGUGAGUGACGGUAAUGGGUAAAGAAGCACCGGCUAACUACGU
rnacentral:rRNA from 1 species